GGUUUCUGUCCCUCUGACAGUUCGUCUCGGUGCCAUGUUGGCAUACACGCCUCUGGAUGAGAAGAGUCUGGCUUUGCUGCUCAGUUACCUCCAGGACUUUCUCAGGUACCUGGUGAAGAAUUCAUCCACCCUCUUCAGUCCCAGCGACUACGAGGUCGCACCUCCAGAGUAUCACCGCAAGGCCGUCUAACAACCUGAUGACACCAUACCAUUCAGCAGAACAUUAGAAGAUCUGGUCGAUGGUCCUACAAACAUCUCAGGAGUCUCACUGAACACAGAAAAUGUCUGGGGCAACUUUUUUUAACAGACUCUUUUCCAGUUUCUCUUCUUUCAUAGAAAAAAACUGCUGUUUCCGUGGUGACGAGUUAAGAAGCCGCUUGUUGGCUUAAAUCUGUUCAUUCCACCCGACAUUUUUACUGAGGUUUUGGGAAAACAUGGACUAGUUUGACAUUAUCCUGACAUAAAUAAUUUAUAAUAACUGUUGUUCAUUAUCCAGAGCACUCAGAGUACAUCAGCCUGUCUCCGUAACUGAUCCUAGUCCUAAUCCAGAUCUGAUCAGAGUUAGACUUGUUCACUUUCUGCAGGAUUUGAGUGACUGACAGGUUUAACCAAAUUCAGUGUUGAAAUUAAAGUGUUGAAAAAUGCUGACUGUGUUAAAGUGUUCAGAAAUCCAGAUCAUCACCAAAAUGAGACGCAUUUGUCUUUUUAAGGUUGAUCCUUCACAUGGGUUUCAUUAAGAUUUAACUUAAUCCUGCUAAUUGACAAAAGUUAGUCAUCAUACGUCGUUGCUUGAGGUAAUAAUUAGGAUUAUUUGUAAGAAAACACUUUCAAAGCAAAUUCUAAAAUGAACAGUUUACUGCUGAGUGCAUGCAAACACAACAGCGCCCCCUUUGGUGUGAGCAGCAGAGAGUGUUUCCGCUGCAGUGAGCGUAAUGUAAGCGACACACUUUCUUCUUCUCUGCGCCUUUGGCUGUUUCACAGCUCCGUGUGCUACAACAGGAAAACAGAAACAUCUCUGCUGUGUGCAGAAAAAACAUCAAACCAUUAUUAGAUCAUUGCUUCUAAAUCACUGAUAUGUCAGUUAAAUGUUUAACAAAUGACAUGUUUUCAAAUAAAGCAGGAUUAAAUCCAGGUUGAGGACAGCAGCUGCACUGUGCGAUGGCCCACAGUGAUAUUUAAAAAUAUUGAUCGGGUUAGUGUUGACAAAAUUUUAAAAACGUGCAUGAACACUAGUGAAAAAGAUUUACAGCUUUAUUAUUUGUCUUUAAUGGAAACUACAAUUCACAGUGUAGUUUCUCUUUCCAGUGUUGUUUCAUGUUUCUACAGUAAAAAAAAUUCAUCUUAUUGACAUUUAUUUUCUCAUCUUUAUAUUCAUUUGUACGUGACAUAUGAAAGUCGUUGUGUUACUUUGAUAUUGUGAUAUUUGGGUCACAGGUAAUUUUUUUUCUUUCUUUUUUUUAAGUAGGUGCUGUGUAAUGAAAUUCAUAAGCUACAUUUGUAAAGUAAUCCUGACCUAUUUUUGCAUGUGUGUAUUUAUUAGUGUUGUUUCUGCCAGAUGUGAAAUUAAUGUUGAACCAGUCAGUUUUUGUACCUUUUUUCUACCAUUUUUUGUUUUUUAAAGAAAUGAUUGCACUCUG